UGCAAGUCGAGCGAACAGAUAAGGAGCUUGCUCCUUUGACGUUAGCGGCGGACGGGUGAGUAACACGUGGGUAACCUACCUAUAAGACUGGGAUAACUUCGGGAAACCGGAGCUAAUACCGGAUAACAUUUGGAACCGCAUGGUUCUAAAGUGAAAGAUGGUUUUGCUAUCACUUAUAGAUGGACCCGCGCCGUAUUAGCUAGUUGGUAAGGUAACGGCUUACCAAGGCAACGAUACGUAGCCGACCUGAGAGGGUGAUCGGCCACACUGGAACUGAGACACGGUCCAGACUCCUACGGGAGGCAGCAGUAGGGAAUCUUCCGCAAUGGGCGAAAGCCUGACGGAGCAACGCCGCGUGAGUGAUGAAGGGUUUCGGCUCGUAAAACUCUGUUAUUAGGGAAGAACAAAUGUGUAAGUAACUGUGCACAUCUUGACGGUACCUAAUCAGAAAGCCACGGCUAACUACGUGCCAGCAGCCGCGGUAAUACGUAGGUGGCAAGCGUUAUCCGGAAUUAUUGGGCGUAAAGCGCGCGUAGGCGGUUUCUUAAGUCUGAUGUGAAAGCCCACGGCUCAACCGUGGAGGGUCAUUGGAAACUGGGAAACUUGAGUGCAGAAGAGGAAAGUGGAAUUCCAUGUGUAGCGGUGAAAUGCGCAGAGAUAUGGAGGAACACCAGUGGCGAAGGCGACUUUCUGGUCUGUAACUGACGCUGAUGUGCGAAAGCGUGGGGAUCAAACAGGAUUAGAUACCCUGGUAGUCCACGCCGUAAACGAUGAGUGCUAAGUGUUAGGGGGUUUCCGCCCCUUAGUGCUGCAGCUAACGCAUUAAGCACUCCGCCUGGGGAGUACGACCGCAAGGUUGAAACUCAAAGGAAUUGACGGGGACCCGCACAAGCGGUGGAGCAUGUGGUUUAAUUCGAAGCAACGCGAAGAACCUUACCAAAUCUUGACAUCCUUUGAAAACUCUAGAGAUAGAGCCUUCCCCUUCGGGGGACAAAGUGACAGGUGGUGCAUGGUUGUCGUCAGCUCGUGUCGUGAGAUGUUGGGUUAAGUCCCGCAACGAGCGCAACCCUUAAGCUUAGUUGCCAUCAUUAAGUUGGGCACUCUAGGUUGACUGCCGGUGACAAACCGGAGGAAGGUGGGGAUGACGUCAAAUCAUCAUGCCCCUUAUGAUUUGGGCUACACACGUGCUACAAUGGACAAUACAAAGGGCAGCUAAACCGCGAGGUCAUGCAAAUCCCAUAAAGUUGUUCUCAGUUCGGAUUGUAGUCUGCAACUCGACUACAUGAAGCUGGAAUCGCUAGUAAUCGUAGAUCAGCAUGCUACGGUGAAUACGUUCCCGGGUCUUGUACACACCGCCCGUCACACCACGAGAGUUUGUAACACCCGAAGCCGGUGGAGUAACCAUUUAUGGAGCUAGCCG
rnacentral:rRNA from 1 species